CCUACGGGUGGCAGCAGUGGGGGAUAUUGCACAAUGGAGGGAACUCUGAUGCAGCGACGCCGCGUGAGGGAAGACUGUUUUCGGAUUGUAAACCUCUGUCUUCGGUGACGAAACGAGACGGUAGCCGAGGAGGAAGCCACGUCUAACUACGUGCGAGCAGCCGCGGUACUACGUAGGUGGCGAGGGUUGUCCGGAUUUACUGGGUGUAAAGGGAGCGUAGGGGGGAAAUCAAGUUGAAUGUUUAAGGUUCGGGCUCAACCUGUACAAGCGUUCAAAACUGUUUUUCUUGAGUGGAGUUGAGGUAAGCGGAAUUCGUAGUGUAGCGGUGAAAUGCGUAAAUAUUAGGAGGAACACCAGUGGCGAAGGCGGCUUACUGGGCUUUAACUGACGCUGAGGCUCGAAAGCGUGGGUAGCAAACAGGAUUAGAUACCCUUGUAGUC
rnacentral:rRNA from 1 species